UACGGAAGGGGCUAGCGUUGAACGGAAUUAAUGGGCGUAAAGAGCGCGUAGGCGGCUUACCAAGUUGGGGGUGAAAUCCCGGAGCUCAACUCCGGAAAUGCAUUCAAAACUGGUAGGCUCGAGUCCGGAAGAGGGGAGUGGAAUUCCCAGUGUAGAGGUGAAAUUCGUAGAUAUUGGGAAGAACACCGGUGGCGAAGGCGGCGCCCUGGUCCGGUACUGACGCUGAGGAGCGAAAGCGUGGGGAGCAAACAGG
rnacentral:rRNA from 1 species